UACGAAGGGGGCUAGCGUUGCUCGGAAUCACUGGGCGUAAAGGGUGCGUAGGCGGGUCUUUAAGUCAGGGGUGAAAUCCUGGAGCUCAACUCCAGAACUGCCUUUGAUACUGAGGAUCUUGAGUUCGGGAGAGGUGAGUGGAACUGUGAGUGUAGAGGUGAAAUUCGUAGAUAUUCGCAAGAACACCAGUGGCGAAGGCGGCUCACUGGCCCGAUACUGACGCUGAGGCACGAAAGCGUGGGGGAGCAAACAGG
rnacentral:rRNA from 1 species